rnacentral:pre_miRNA from 1 species
CUUAUAUUCCCUACAUCCCAUAUUAAGUGACUUUUUAUUACAUGUAUCCAAACAUAUUUUAGUAUAUAGAUACGUCCAUAUUUAGACAAAUGUGAGUCACUUAAUAUGGGAUGGAGAGAGUAUUUA